UCUCUGGCAGCCAUGCCUGUUUUCAAGCAGUGCCCAGUCCUGUGUUGGAAAUGUUAACUCUUCCUGCAAAUCAGGAUGGUGAAUGCAGUCAGAUGGAGUGUGGCUGGAGGAGGGGCAGAUGGAGACUCUUGGUAUCUGCGGGUCUGUGGUUCCAAGGAGACUGCCAUUGAGGAAGACUGCAUUCUCAGGACGCAUAGAGAUGAGAAAACUGCUACUCAGAGAUGUUAAGUAACAUACAUUGCUGAGUACCAAAGAUGGAAGUCCACAUGCUAAAGGAAGUUCCAGGUCAAAUUCAAACUCUGUGAGCUGAUAGGAGACUGUGAUAUACUUAAUGCAGGUGACAGACCAGCAGUGUCAUUGGCCCAGAGGGAAUUGAACUCUUUUUCCAAAAGAUUUAGAAGAUACACUAAACUGGAAAAUGACCUGGAAACUU